UACGUAGGUGGCAAGCGUUGUCCGGAGUUACUGGGCGUAAAGCGCGCGCAGGCGGCUCGUUAAGUCUGACGUGAAAGCCCCCGGCUCAACCGGGGAGGGUCGUUGGAGACUGGUGAGCUUGAGGGCGGUAGGGGCUGGUGGAAUUCCCGGUGUAGUGGUGAAAUGCGUUGAUAUCGGAAGGAACGCCGGUGGCGAAAGCGCACAACUGGUCCUCUUCUGACGCUGAGGCGCGAAAGCCAGGGGAGCAAACGGG
rnacentral:rRNA from 1 species